UACAGAGGUCUCAAGCGUUGUUCGGAUUCAUUGGGCGUAAAGGGUGCGUAGGUGGCAAGGUAAGUCGGGUGUGAAAUCCCGGGGCUCAACCCUGGAACUGCACUCGAUACUGCCAUGCUCGAGUACUAGAGAGGAGACUGGAAUUUACGGUGUAGCAGUGAAAUGCGUAGAUAUCGUAAGGAAGACCAGUGGCGAAGGCGAGUCUCUGGACAGUUACUGACACUGAGGCACGAAGGCCAGGGGAGCAAACGGG
rnacentral:rRNA from 1 species